ACAUCAGUGAGGUUAAUCCUUACCUGUUCCUCCUUAGGGAGUAACAGACAUGAUGAAUGGAGGAGGCUGAGUAUCUGAUUACACGGAUCUCCCACACCUUCGGGAUAUGACGACGCAUCCCGAGGGUGAUAUUCUGAU